rnacentral:rRNA from 1 species
UGGGGAAUAUUGGACAAUGGGGGGAACCCUGAUCCAGCCAUGCCGCGUGUGUGAAGAAGGCCUUAUGGUUGUAAAGCACUUUAAGCGAGGAGGAGGCUCUUCUAGUUAAUACCUAGGAUGAGUGGACGUUACUCGCAGAAUAAGCACCGGCUAACUCUGUGCCAUCAGCCGCGGGAAUACAGAGGGUGCGAGCGUUAAUCGGAUUUACUGGGCGUAAAGCGUGCGUAGGCGGCGUUUUAAGUCGGAUGUGAAAUCCCCGAGCUGAACUUGGGAAUUGCAUUCGAUACUGGGAAGCUAGAGUUUGGGAGAGGAUGGUAGGAUUCCAGGUGUAGCGGUGAAAUGCGUAGAGAUCUGGAGGAAUACCGAUGGCGAAGGCAGCCAUCUGGCCUAAUACUUACGCUGAGGUACGAAAGCAUGGGGAGCAAACAGG